UCCCCGAUAGCUCAAUGGUAGAGCACCUGACUGUUAAUCAGGGUGUUCCAGGUUCGAGCCCUGGUCGGGGAGCCA
rnacentral:tRNA from 1 species